rnacentral:rRNA from 1 species
GAUGAACGCUGGCGGCGUGCCUAAUACAUGCAAGUCGAGCGAACGGACGAGAAGCUUGCUUCUCUGAUGUUAGCGGCGGACGGGUGAGUAACACGUGGAUAACCUACCUAUAAGACUGGGAUAACUUCGGGAAACCGGAGCUAAUACCGGAUAAUAUUUUGAACCGCAUGGUUCAAAAGUGAAAGACGGUCUUGCUGUCACUUAUAGAUGGAUCCGCGCUGCAUUAGCUAGUUGGUAAGGUAACGGCUUACCAAGGCAACGAUGCAUAGCCGACCUGAGAGGGUGAUCGGCCACACUGGAACUGAGACACGGUCCAGACUCCUACGGGAGGCAGCAGUAGGGAAUCUUCCGCAAUGGGCGAAAGCCUGACGGAGCAACGCCGCGUGAGUGAUGAAGGUCUUCGGAUCGUAAAACUCUGUUAUUAGGGAAGAACAUAUGUGUAAGUAACUGUGCACAUCUUGACGGUACCUAAUCAGAAAGCCACGGCUAACUACGUGCCAGCAGCCGCGGUAAUACGUAGGUGGCAAGCGUUAUCCGGAAUUAUUGGGCGUAAAGCGCGCGUAGGCGGUUUUUUAAGUCUGGUGUGAAAGCCCACGGCUCAACCGUGGAGGGUCAUUGGAAACUGGAAAACUUGAGUGCAGAAGAGGAAAGUGGAAUUCCAUGUGUAGCGGUGAAAUGCGCAGAGAUAUGGAGGAACACCAGUGGCGAAGGCGACUUUCUGGUCUGUAACUGACGCUGAUGUGCGAAAGCGUGGGGAUCGAACAGGAUUAGAUACCCUGGUAGUCCACGCCGUAAACGAUGAGUGCUAAGUGUUAGGGGGUUUCCGCCCCUUAGUGCUGCAGCUAACGCAUUAAGCACUCCGCCUGGGGAGUACGACCGCAAGGUUGAAACUCAAAGGAAUUGACGGGGACCCGCACAAGCGGUGGAGCAUGUGGUUUAAUUCGAAGCAACGCGAAGAACCUUACCAAAUCUUGACAUCCUUUGACAACUCUAGAGAUAGAGCCUUCCCCUUCGGGGGACAAAGUGACAGGUGGUGCAUGGUUGUCGUCAGCUCGUGUCGUGAGAUGUUGGGUUAAGUCCCGCAACGAGCGCAACCCUUAAGCUUAGUUGCCAUCAUUAAGUUGGGCACUCUAAGUUGACUGCCGGUGACAAACCGGAGGAAGGUGGGGAUGACGUCAAAUCAUCAUGCCCCUUAUGAUUUGGGCUACACGCGUGCUACAAUGGACAAUACAAAGGGCAGCGAAACCGCGAGGUCAAGCAAAUCCCAUAAAGUUGUUCUCAGUUCGGAUUGUAGUCUGCAACUCGACUACAUGAAGCUGGAAUCGCUAGUAAUCGUAGAUCAGCAUGCUACGGUGAAUACGUUCCCGGGUCU